rnacentral:tRNA from 1 species
AGAGGCUAUAACUUAAUUGGUAAAGUGUACUGCUCAUAACAGUUUUUAUAAGUGUUCAACUCACUUUAGCCUUA